UACGUAGGUGCAAGCGUUAAUCGGAAUUACUGGGCGUAAAGCGUGCGCAGGCGGUUAUGUAAGACAGAUGUGAAAUGCCCGGGCUUAACCUGGGAACUGCAUUUGUGACUGCAUGGCUAGAGUUUGGCAGAGGGGGGUAGAAUUCCACGUGUAGCAGUGAAAUGCGUAGAUAUGUGGAGGAACACCGAUGGCGAAGGCAGCCCCCUGGGUCAAGACUGACGCUCAUGCACGAAAGCGUGGGGAGCAAACAGGAUUAGAUACCUUGU
rnacentral:rRNA from 1 species